GGAUAUUGGGCGUAAGGGCGCGCAGGCGGUUUCUUAAGUCUGAUGUGAAAGCCCCCGGCUCAACCGGGGAGGGUCAUUGGAAACUGGGAAACUUGAGUGCAGAAGAGGAGAGUGGAAUUCCACGUGUAGCGGUGAAAUGCGUAGAGAUGUGGAGGAACACCAGUGGCGAAGGCGACUCUCUGGUCUGUAACUGACGCUGAGGAGCGAAAGCGUGGGGAGCGAACAGGAUUAGAUACCCUGGUAGUCCACGCCGUAAACGAUGAGUGCUAAGUGUUAGGGGGUUUCCGCCCCUUAGUGCUGCAGCUAACGCAUUAAGCACUCCGCCUGGGGAGUACGGUCGCAAGACUGAAACUCAAAGGAAUUGACGGGGGCCCGCACAAGCGGUGGAGCAUGUGGUUUAAUUCGAAGCAACGCGAAGAACCUUACCAGGUCUUGACAUCCUCUGACAACGCUAGAGAUAGGGCUUUCCCUUCGGGGACACAGUGACAGGUGGUGCAUGGUUGUCGUCAGCUCGUGUCGUGAGAUGUUGGGUUAAGUCCCGCAACGAGCGCAACCCUUGAUGUUAGUUGCCAGCAUUCAGUUGGGCACUCUCACGUGACUGCCGGUGACAAACCGGAGGAAGGUGGGGAUGACGUCAAAUCAUCAUGCCCCUUAUGACCUGGGCUACACACGUGCUACAAUGGACAGAACAAAGGGCUG
rnacentral:rRNA from 1 species